rnacentral:rRNA from 1 species
CGGGACGGGUGAGUAAUGUCUGGGAAACUGCCUGAUGGAGGGGGAUAACUACUGGAAACGGUAGCUAAUACCGCAUAACGUCGCAAGACCAAAGAGGGGGACCUUCGGGCCUCUUGCCAUCGGAUGUGCCCAGAUGGGAUUAGCUAGUAGAUGGGGUAAAGGCUCACCUAGGCGACGAUCCCUAGCUGGUCUGAGAGGAUGACCAGCCACACUGGAACUGAGACACGGUCCAG